AUUGUUGCUUUUUUACUCAUCUUCUUAUUCAGUUCCAAAAACUGACCGUUUCAUUUGAAGUUGUAGAAUGUUAUUAUUUAAAUAUAUUUAGUUCCUGAUCUUGGUCAGUCCCUCCUCUACCAGUGUCUGGUAUUUAGCCGGUCCAGCCCAGGUAUGUCUGGGCCAUGUCCCAGCCCAGGUAUGUCUGGGCCAUGUCCCAGCCAGGUAUGUCUGGCCUGUCCCAGCCCGGUAUGUCGGGGCCAUGUCCCAGCCCAGUAUGUCUGGGCCAUGUCCCAGCCCAGGUAUGUCUGGGCCAUGUCCCAAGCCCAGGUAUGUCUGGGCCAUUUUGUGCCAGCCCAGGUAUGUCUGGGCCAUGUCCCAGCCCAGGUAUGUCUGGGCCAUGUCCCAGCCCAGUAUGUCUGGGCCAUGUCCCAGCCCAGGUAUGUAUGGGCCAUGUCCCCGCCCAGUUGUCUGGGGAGUCCAGCCAGUAUGUCUGGGCCAUGUCCCAGCCCAGGUAUGUCUGGGCGCCAAUGUCCCAGCCCAGGGUAUGUCUCCCUGUCCCAGCCAGGUUGAUCUUGAAAUAUCAAAUCUCUCUUUCUUUAAAAUAAUAAAUUGCACUGUAGAAGGUGAAUUGAAAGCAUCAAAGCAUGAUUAUGAUAUGAUUUUUUUUUAAUGUUACUUAUUUUUUUCUGGUGGCGUUUAAGUCCGUCAAGGGGCGGACUACUCGCCAGACCUGGAUUCAAUCAUUUCAGAUACUUUAAGCCGGGCUUGAUUGAGCUUGCCUGGCAAAAUGAAACAAAAAUAGAAUAGUCCACCAAACUGCAAAUCCUCCUGCCCGUGAUCUGGAACAACAGGCACACUGAAGUCAACACUCAAAGAUUUAAAAGAUUUUGAGAAACGUACAGGGAGCAUUCUACCGUCCU
rnacentral:lncRNA from 1 species